rnacentral:rRNA from 1 species
ACAAGUUAGAAAGGGCUCAUGGUGGAUGCCUUGGUGUCAGGGGGCGAAGAAGGACGUGGCCAGCUGCGAUAAGCCUCGGGUAGCCGCAAACAGGCGUUAAUCCGGGGAUUUCCGAAUGGGGCAACCUGUCUGAGGUCAUGCUCAGACGCCCUCAGCCCAAGUAAAUUAAGCUGAGGGAGUAAGACCCGGGGAACUGAAACAUCUUAGUACCCGGAGGAAAAGAAAGCAACCGCGAUUCCCCAAGUAGCGGCGAGCGAACGGGGAGCAGCCCAAACCGUGUAUGCGUGACAGCCUGCCGGUGUUUCAUAUGCGGGGUUGAGGGGAUUGCUCGAUAAAGUGCGGCAGCGCUUUACUUAAGUCAGAAACCGUUAAAGUAGACGAACCUGUCUGGAAAGGCGGACCGUAGGAGGUAAAAGUCCUGUAGUUUAAACUUUAGCGGCUUAAGGAGCAAUUGCCCGAGUAGCACGGGGCACGAGGAAUCCCGUGUGAAUCUGGGAGGACCACCUUCCAAGGCUAAAUACCGCCUGACAACCGAUAGAGAAUAGUACCGUGAGGGAAAGGUGAAAAGCACCCCGGGAGGGGAGUGAAAUAGAACCUGAAACCGUGAGCCUACAAGCAGUCAGAGCACUAUGCUGGAGGUUGGAGGUUAGAGGUUGGAAGUUAGAAAAGAAGCCGUCAAAAGGUUUUCAUCUAACCUCCAAUUUCCAACUUCCAACUUCCAGGAGUGUGAUGGCGUACUUUUUGUAGAACGGGCCGGCGAGUUAUGGUUGGCAGCGAGGUUAAGGGACAAAGUCCUGGAGCCGGAGCGAAAGCGAGUCUUAAUAGGGCGCAUUAGUUGUCAGCUGUAGACCCGAAACCGGGUGACCUACCCAUGGCCAGGGUGAAGCUUGGGUGAUACCGAGUGGAGGCCCGCACCCACUGAUGUUGAAAAAUCAGGGGAUGAGCUGUGGGUAGCGGUGAAAUGCCAAACGAACCCGGAAAUAGCUGGUUCUCCCCGAAAUAGCUUUAGGGCUAGCCCCGGGGGUUUAAUUACGGAGGUAGAGCACUGAUCGGGCUAGGGGCCCAACAAGGUUACCGAACUCAGUCAAACUCCGAAUGCCGUAAUUUCAGACCCCGGGAGUCAGACUGCGGGUGAUAAGAUUCGUGGUCGAGAGGGAAACAGCCCAGACCGUCAGCUAAGGUCCCCCAAUGCAGGCUAAGUGGAAAAGGAUGUGAAACUGCCCGGACAACCAGGAUGUUGGCUCAGAAGCAGCCACCAUUUAAAGAGUGCGUAACAGCUCACUGGUCAAGUGGUUUUGCGCCGAAAAUGUAACGGGGCUCAAGCCUGCUACCGAAGCUACGGAUUUUGGAGGUCGGAAAUGAGAAGUCAGAAAACCGGAGAAAAACAAGCCAUAAAAAGCUACAAAGACCUGGAAGUAUACCAGGAGGGGUACAGUCUGGCGAUAAGACUGUAUCAAGAGGCAAACAAGCUUCCAGGCGAAGCAUUAGAGCUAGCCAGGCAAACCAGGCGAGCAGCAAUUUCUAUCCCAUUGAAUAUUGCCGAGGGUUACGGGAAGAAAGAAUCUGUUGCUGAAUUUAAAAGAUACAUACGCAUGGCGAUUGGUUUUGCGAACGAAAUAGAAGUUCUUUUAGAGAUGCUCAAAGACCUGCACUAUUUUGACCAGUCAAUAUACCAAUCAUACAUCGAAUCAUAUCAAGUGCUUGGCAAGCGUUUAAAUGUAUUAUUACAAAGAUGGCAGUAAGAUUUAAUCUGGUAAACUGAAUUCUGAUUUCUGACCUCCAGAGUGGUAGGGGAGCGUUCCCUGAGCGCAGAAGCUGUACUGUAAGGAGCAGUGGAGUUCAGGGAAGAGAGAAUGCCGGCAUAAGUAACGAUAAGGCAAGUGAGAAUCUUGUCCGCCGCAAGCCUAAGGUUUCCUGAGGAAGGUUCGUCCGCUCAGGGUAAGCCGGGACCUAAGCCGAGGCCGAAUGGCGUAGGCGAUGGACAACUGGUUGAUAUUCCAGUGCCACCUUUAGGCCGCUACGAGCGAAGGGGUGACGCAGGAGGGUAGGUUAAGCGCACCGUUGGUUGAGUGCGUCCAAGCGUGUAGGGAGUUCUCCCAGGCAAAUCCGGGAGGGCGAUAAUCCUGAGGCGUGAUGGGGAGUGAAAAUAUAAAGUAACGAACUUACCGAUCCCAUACUGCCAAGAAAAGCCUCUAGCCAGGACUAAGGGUGCCCGUACCGCAAACCGACACAGGUAGGCGAGGAGAGUAUCCUAAGGCGCGCGGGAAUAACCCUCGUUAAGGAACUCGGCAAAAUGACCCCGUAACUUCGGGAGAAGGGGUACCCCGUUAGGGUUUAAGGACAGUAAUUGUUUGGUAAGCCCGAGGGGGUUGCAAUGAAAAGGCCCAAGCGACUGUUUAUCAAAAACACAGGUCUCUGCUAACUCGCAAGAGGAAGUAUAGGGGCUGACGCCUGCCCGGUGCUGGAAGGUUAAGAGGAGGGGUGAGAGCUCUGAAUCCAA